UUGACCUCGGAUCAGGCAGGGAUACCCGCUGAACUUAAGCAUAUCAAUAAGCGGAGGAAAAGAAACCAACAGGGAUUGCCUCAGUAACGGCGAGUGAAGCGGCAACAGCUCAAAUUUGAAAUCUGGCUCUUUUAGGGUCCGAGUUGUAAUUUGUAGAGGAUGCUUCGGCGUCGGCUCCGGUCUAAGUUCCUUGGAACAGGACGUCAUAGAGGGUGAGAAUCCCGUAUGUGAUCGGUUGCCCUUGCCAUGUGAAGCUCCUUCGACGAGUCGAGUUGUUUGGGAAUGCAGCUCUAAAUGGGAGGUAAAUUUCUUCUAAAGCUAAAUACUGGC
rnacentral:rRNA from 1 species